ACUCUGAACCUUCACAAUGACGACUCUGAACCGUUGCACACUCGUUGCGGAUCUAUACCACGGUUGCCUCUGAUUCCAGAUCUUCCCCACAUAUGCACGAAUCUUUUGGUUACAAUAUGUCAAGGCUCAUGUCCUUCCGACACCAUCAACGCUCACAACACAUCUCAACUUAUGGCUAUAAACAGGGAUCGGUUCCUAAAUCCUAGGGUUUACUCUAUCCUAAACUAACAAGGCUUUUAAAAGAAACUAAACCUAACUACCACAACCUAGCAAGGGUUACUCAUUAACCGCACUU
rnacentral:lncRNA from 1 species